rnacentral:rRNA from 1 species
CCCGCUGAACUUAAGCAUAUCAAUAAGCGGAGGAAAAGAAACCAACAGGGAUUGCCUUAGUAACGGCGAGUGAAGCGGCAACAGCUCAAAUUUGAAAUCUGCCACCAGGCCGAAUUGUAAUUUGUAGAGGAACGUUCGGCAACGCCUUAGUCCGAGUCUUCUGGAAGGAAGCGCCAAUGAGGGUGAGAGCCCCGUAGGAUGAAUGGCUGAGCCUUGUGUACGUCCUUCGAAGAGUCGAGUUGUUUGGGAAUGCAGCUCAAAACGGGUGGUAAAUUCCAUCUAAAGCUAAAUAUUGGCGAGAGACCGAUAGCGAACAAGUACCGUGAGGGAAAGAUGAAAAGCACUUUGGAAAGAGAGUGAAACAGUACGUGAAAUUGUUGAAAGGGAAACGCUUGAAGUCAGUCGCGUCGACCGAGACUCAGCCUCGCCUCGGCUUGGUGUACUUCUCGGCUCGACGGGUCAGCAUCGAUUUCGAUCCUCGGAUAAUGGCAAGGGAAAGGUAGCACCUUUUUAGGUGUGUUAUAGUCCUCUGUCGCAUGCGAGGGUCGGGAUCGAGGAACUCAGCACGCACCUCAGGGUGUCGGGGCCUUGGCCCACGUUUACGUGCUUAGGAUGCUGGCGUAAUGGCUUUAAACGACCCGUCUUGAAACACGG